AUAAAAAAUUAGGGGAGCUUAAAAGGCUGAGAGUAAGUUUAAUAACUUAGACCCUUAUAACCUGUUGGAUAAUGCCAGUGUAGGGAAAUAUUUUUACUUACUA
rnacentral:ncRNA from 2 species